CGCCAAGAAGAAACAAAAUUGAGAGCAACAUCUUGAGCAGCAGCAUUCAAUUUGAAUAGAACAUCUUCAAAUGGGCAAAUUUAUAUACAUAUUUGAUGACAAGCGAUAUACGAACCGGAGUCAUCGGUGGACGUGAUCGCCAAUUAAUUUCGAAUACCUUCAUAAGCUCGCUUAUCGGGACUCUCGUUCUGCAAUUUGGCGAGGCGUGUGGCAUCAUAUGUGAGGGACUCCUUGAUAAAGUAUCUCUAGUAAUUUGAAUUCUGAUGUCAGCGCUGCGAUAGUGAGCUGAAAAUCAAAGUGAAGACAUGACAAGAUAAAGAAUGAGCGAAAAAGAGACUUUUCUUUACAUCAAACUAUGCGACAAAAUAUUUUCUUUUUCUUUUUAAUACUGUACUAUACACAUAAAAUACACUUUGUAUACUGCAUCUAACGAAUUAUGUAUCUUCUGCGAGUUUAUUUAGCCCGCGAUUUUGCAAAAAUUGCUAUCACAAAAAUUGUUAAAUUUAUUAAACGAUUUAACAAUUCCUUUUGCAAGAUUUCCGCGUACCUUGUGCAACGUAUCUUAUUUUAAUCACUUGUCAGAGACCGAUUUCAUCCGUAUGGACUCCGGAUGGCUUAUCGCUUCGAUUGAUUGACAUCUGCACGUUUUGCAAAAAUUUCAUAUCUAAAAAUUUUCAGGAUGAAAUAAUCAGGAUCGCCUUAUUCAGAUAAAAAUAUGAUUAGCAUAGGUAUCUCCAUCACGUAUGUCUUGCGGAAACGCGAUACAGCUGCUGAUAAUGCUGACAAGAUAUACGAGAUAAAGAGAACGAGAUCUCGCAAUCUAAUUUCAAGCACUGUCACUUCUGUUCGCCAUUCGACGAAAUGAUAAAGGCACCUUUAUCCGCGUUUAAAUCUGACAGAAGCUGCGUUUUAAUUAUCCGCUGCUGUUCCCAUUCUUUCCAGAUUAACUUCUCGCGCAGUUAAAUCUUCCUCUUUCUUCCACCUGCUUGCUUGCUCAUAAUAACAGCUAACAAACACCGAGUCCGUCACGUACCGGAAGUGUUCAUGGAGAAUUGUCAGCGUGCAAUUUUGAACACUGCAGAGCUGUUCCAAAGUCCUCUGCGAUUCUCGCAAUCUCUCGCAAAACGAGGAAGACAAAUUAGAAUAAAGUGGCCGUCAAUCAAUGAGCAGCAUCCCCCGCCGGAGAGGGGGAGUGUCAUAAUCCAUUACGGAGGCACCUGGUUGAGUGACCUUUCGAUCGAUAUAGCGCAGGACAAAUGCGAAACUGCAUCCAAGGCGACGGUUGGCUCGGGUCCAGAUACUUCGAGAGUCUUGAGAGUACGUGCUGAUGAUAAUGCUGCGGCGCGGCAUCGUUUCUUUCACAAUGCAGGCUAAACGGCGCUUCUAAGCGGCCAGAUGGUGCCCUGAAUAAUGCAGCCUUAAUUAGGACCCUCAAAUCUCGGUUCGCCGCAUUAUCGUUACGUAAACGCGUCGCAGAGACGUAAAAUCCUAUUGGAGGGUCGCCAUAGGCACCGCGAUCGAUCGUAGGGAAAAAUGUUGGCACGACGUACAUACGAGUAUUGGUUCGUCGUAUCAUUACGCGCUGCAUCCUGAUGUCGAUUUGUGCUCGCGAUUAUUUAUACGGCGUCGGCGCUCAGACUCCAAUUUCCGAAUUCUCCGCGCGGAAGGAAUGGCAUUUAUUGAACGGGAGUUCGUCUCGUUGCGAAUGUGCACGACGCAUGAUGUAAAUGAAAAUAUCUCCAAAAAUUUUCUCCCCGUUCCACGUACGGAUCGUACGUGGCAGUAUUCUGUCGGGAAUUCCAGCAUGCCGGUCCAACAGCACCAUCAAAGCCGCUGCGGGAUGAAGCGGUGCAUGCGUUCACUGAUAUCUGAAAAUUUCAGAAAUUUGCCAGAGCACGUUUUUCCGCUCGCGUUCGCGUAAAAACGAUAACACCCCGUCGUCGUGUACCUGAACGAGGAUGUAACCGGAAUUUAACGUCCGGUGAUUAUGCCGAGGAAUUAUCGAAGAAGAAUCUCCUUUCGAGAGAAUCUCGGAGGAGGUUUCAUAAGGAAGCCGAAGCACCCGAAGAAGCUUCAAGAAGACGGAAAUUCUCCGAGUUCCCGGCGGUUGCGCGCUCGAUUCCGCCGAGCGAGUUUGCAAGUCGCUGCAUCAUCGUCUCGAGAGCACCUAUCUUUCCUUAUCUUGAUGGUCGCAAGAACGUCUUGGAUUUUCAAGAUAGGGAUUGAUCGAAUCUCUCUAUCUAAUUGAAUGCGGUACCGGUUUACGCUGCUUCAAAUUAAACUGCCGAAUAUGCAAACAACUGCAACAGCUAUGUGUGGCCGGGUUCUUUCCUUCCUGUGAGAUCCAUCGAGAUUCGUUGAUUUCCCGAAGGUAUAAUGCAGUCGAGAUUGCUGUUUAAGCGCGAUUCCUGUCUAUGAAGAGUGAAAGCUCGCAGAGAGCCGGCCCGAUCGUCGAGGAAACGUCCGACGUUCUCAACGACUUCCACGGUUUUCGAUUGACCGAACUUUGACCCGGAAGUACCGUGGUAUCCCGUACAUAGCGUUGUGGUGGUGAAGUAGGAGGUCGAUCGAUCCUGCCGACCAAGAAGCGUUAUUGAGAACCGCUGUUCCAGGACUCACCUGCGUCCGACGACCCCACAGGAGCUCCUCAUCGAUCAUCCAGGUAGCGAAACGGCUUGUGUGUACGUGAUCCUGCGUGCAGCCUGUUGAUGUAUGUACAUGGUCAUGAAACCAUUUGGGAUUCCUAAACUGUUAGUCGGUUCUGUCGGCGGCGAUCAUGCGGUUGGCACGAACAGCACGAUGAAGUGAUGAGAAUGAAAUGCGGAUGUUCGAUAAGUGAUGCGAUUAGACUAUAUUGUCUGUCGAAAGGAGAGAUCUCUCUCAGCACGACCGUGAAACAUGUUCGUGUGAUAUAAAGAAAAGUAUAGUAUAAAUAAAAUAAAUAUAAGA